rnacentral:rRNA from 1 species
AUUGAACGCUGGCGGCGUGCCUAACACAUGCAAGUCGAGCGGUAACAGGUGUAGCAAUACAUGCUGACGAGCGGCGGACGGGUGAGUAACGCUUGGGAAUCUGCCUAUUAGUGGGGGACGAACCCGGGGAAACUCGGGCUAAUACCGCAUACGCUCUACGGAGGAAAGACCGGGGACCGCAAGGCCUGGCGCUAAUAGAUGAGCCCAAGUCGGAUUAGCUAGUUGGUAGGGUAAUGGCCUACCAAGGCGACGAUCCGUAACUGGUCUGAGAGGACGACCAGGUCACACCGGAACUGAGACACGGUCCGGACUCCUACGGGAGGCAGCGAGUGGGGAAUAUUGGACAAUGGGCGAAAGCCUGAUCCAGCGACGCCGUCGUGGGUGAAGAAGGCCUGCGGGUUGUAAAGCCCUUUCAGUGGGGAAGAAAAGCCUCGACCUAACACGUCGGGGUCUUGACGUAACCCAUAGAAGAAGCACCGGCUAACUCUGUGCCAGCAGCAG